AGUCAAGAAACUUAAUAAAUUAUUUUACUUUCAAAUCCACCUUCAGUACCCUAAGAUAAAGUACAUCCGUUUAAAUAAAAUUAUUGUAGCCCAUUACCUACUUGUAUAUAAGCUGCACCUUGACCUGACAUUCUUACAUUUAAUAAUUAAGAGAGUUCUCCCUAAAAGGACACUCUUAUGACGGAGGUAUACAAACUGAAAACAAAUACAAGUAAAAAUUAUCGUGGAUUAUCGAUUAAAGAACAGGCUCCUCUGAAAAGACUAAAAUACCGCCAAAUCCUUUGGGUUUCAAGAACUUAGCUAUUACUACCCGAUCAAAAAAU
rnacentral:rRNA from 1 species